rnacentral:ncRNA from 2 species
CUAUCAGGCACGGGGUGCCGGGCUGCAGCUCAUUGUGCAGCGCGGCUGAGAUAAGACCCGUUGAACCUGCUCUAGCUCGUACUAGCGAAGGGAUGGCCCAUAUGGCUGACU